AUACCUUUCUCAGCCUUUUGGCUAAGAUCAAGUGUAGUAUAUGUUUUUAUCAGUUUAAUAUCUGAUAUGUGGUUCAUUGGUCCACACGAUAUUAACUUUAUUUUUUAAGGAGAAAAUCCGUUUAAGUAGCUUGCUACUUGGGUUUUCACGAGUUCCCCUUGUGUUGCACUAUUGCAAGGGACGGGCUCAACCUAU
rfam:Brassica napus, WGS project CCCW01000000 data, contig: 68